AUUGAACGCUGGCGGCAGGCCUAACACAUGCAAGUCGAACGGCAACAGGGUGCGGCUUGCUGCUUUGCUGUCGAGUGGCGGAGGCGGGAGAGAUGUCCGUGGGACUGUAUGUUGUAGGGGGGGAUCUACUGGGAACGGUUGCUAAAACCCCAUAACCGCCCUAGAGCAAAGAGGAGGACCUCCUCGGCCCUUGCGCUCGGAUGUGCCCAGAUGGGAUUAGCUAGUUGGUGGGGUAACGGCCCACCUAGGCGACGAUCCGUAGCUGGUCUGAGAGGAUGACCAGCCACACUGGAACUGAGACACGGUCCAGACUCCUACGGGAGGCAGCAGUGGGGAAUAUUGCACAAUGGGCGCAAGCCUGAUCCAGCCAUGCCGCGUGGAUGAAGAAGGCCUUCGGGUUGUAAAGUACUUUUGUCGGGGAAGAAAAGCGUCAGGUUAAUACCUUGCCUUAUUGACGUUACCCACAGAAGAAGCACCGGCUAACUUCGUG
rnacentral:rRNA from 1 species